rnacentral:rRNA from 1 species
UACAGAGGGGGCAAGCGUUGUUCGGAAUUACUGGGCGUAAAGGGCGCGUAGGCGGCCGCCUAAGUCAGACGUGAAAUCCCUCGGCUCAACCGGGGAACUGCGUCUGAUACUGGGUGGCUUGAAUCCGGGAGAGGGAUGCGGAAUUCCACGUGUAGCAGUGAAAUGCGUAGAGAUGUGGAGGAACACCGAUGGCGAAGGCAGCCCCCUGGGUCAAGAUUGACGCUCAUGCACGAAAGCGUGGGGAGCAAACAGG